UACGGGGGGGGCAAGCGUUGUUCGGAAUUACUGGGCGUAAAGGGCUCGUAGGCGGCCAACUAAGUCGGACGUGAAAUCCCCAGGCUCAACCUGGGAACUGCGUCCGAUACUGGAUGGCUUGAAUCCGGGAGAGGGAUGCAGAAUUCCAGGUGUAGCGGUGAAAUGCGUAGAUAUCUGCAGGAACACCCGUGGCGAAAGCGGCGCGCUGGACCACUACUGACGCUGAGGAACGAAAGCUAGGGGAGCAAACAGG
rnacentral:rRNA from 1 species